rnacentral:rRNA from 1 species
CCUACGGGAGGCAGCAGUGAGGAAUAUUGGUCAAUGGGCUUACGCCUGAACCAGCCAAGUCGCGUGAGGGAAGACUGCCCUAUGGGUUGUAAACCUCUUUUGUCAGGGAACAAAGGCGGGGACUAGUCCCCGGAUGAGGGUACCUGAAGAAAAAGCAUCGGCUAACUCCGUGCCAGCAGCCGCGGUAAUACGGAGGAUGCGAGCGUUAUCCGGAUUUAUUGGGUUUAAAGGGUGCGCAGGCGGCCUGUUAAGUCAGCGGUAAAAGCCCGGGGCUCAACCCCGGCGAGCCGUUGAAACUGGCGGGCUGGAGUUGGAGAGAAGUACGCGGAAUGCGCGGUGUAGCGGUGAAAUGCUUAGAUAUCGCGCAGAACCCCGAUUGCGAAGGCAGCGUACCGGCUCCAAACUGACGCUGAGGCACGAAAGCGUGGGUAUCGAACAGGAUUAGAUACCCCUGUAGUC